UAGAUAGAGGCGCGGGUUUCAUCAGUACCCUCCGGCACGGUCAGGCAGCCGCCGGACGGGAAAGGGAAAACCGCCGAAGUUGUGAAAGACUGCCUGGUCUUUCGCUGCUGGGCCGUCGGAGAAUAUCCGCCGGACUGUCACAAAACUUUGUGAAGCGCUAUCA
rnacentral:ncRNA from 1 species